rnacentral:lncRNA from 1 species
GAGGGGGCGUUGAAGGGCUCAUGCUUUGUUGUAGCGUGCUAGCUGCCUAGAGCUUUGAGGACUGGGAAUAUGAGAGAAAGGAAGAAAAGGCUGCUCAGUUCGGAACAAGGAGAGUGUGUUGAGAGAGGGGAAGUCACUCGUUGCCCUAUUCUGGCCAUCCCAGCUGGGAAGGAGAAAGAGAUGGUACCCUGGUAACAGUGAGUAGUUGACAGCCUCUCUUCAACAUGAGGUAUGACAGGUAUCUGACAUGAGAGAGGCAUGUGCACAUGAGUGAGUCUAUUUUUUUUUAUUUGCUGUAGGCAUCUCUUUGCUUUUCUCCUGUCAAUGCAUUUAAUCAAGAGUCCUCUGUAGUUUUCAAGUAGACCAUCAAAGCUACAACUCCUGCACUGGAGUCUCUAGUACCUUCUGGCUUUAGUCCUGAACAUGUAUGUUAUCUUAAAAUUAAGUAUUAUAUUGCUUUAUGUAUCUUAUUGGUUGCAUUUAUGCUUUUAUUUAUACCAGCUUCCAACCAGAGGACUAUCCAACCUCCUAGGGUAAGUCCAAGUUUAUGAAAUUAAUUAAAAGCAGUUGUUUGGUGGAUUAAAAUGAGGGGUUGGAACAUUGGACUGUUUGGUUCUAUGCUUAAUGUGACAUCAAAUUAAGGCAAUGCUGAAGUCAUUUCAGGGCCUGUGUAUGAAUAGGUCUGUUUGUGUCAUAAGAUUUACCUUGAGGCAUUUAAGUACUGAUGAGACAGAAGUGUCCCUGUAAGUUUGUACUCCCUAUGUAGAUGCAGAAUCUAUGAGGGGGAAUAUAAUUAUCUCUUCCAUCAGCAGGAAGCUGAUUCCACUGUGUCUCCCCAUCUGUUGGAUUUGUGUGAUGUGAGUUUAUAGAGUGACAGUUUUGAGCACGACAUUAAGGAAGAAAAGUUUGUGUUAAAUUGACUUCCUUAAAAAGUAUAGUCUGUAAGGUAUAUGUUGUUGAAGAGAUCCAUUCCAAAUAAUGACCUACGAUUUUAUCAGCAUUUUUCCUUCCUAAAGGUUUUAUUGUAUUUGAAUACCUCCAUAAGGUCUUUGGGAAAAUUCUAAGAAAAAGAUCAAAUUCAGGAGGAAAUGUAUGAGAAAAAAAAUUACUGUAUAAACUCACCAUGGUGACAGACCUGAGAGUUCUUACAUGGAAUUAAGAUCUGAAGUGGGAGUAUAUUGGACUCAGCUUCCUGUCCACAGUGACUGGCAGAUAACUCUGGCAGCCUCUAAGGACACGCCCAAAGGGCGGGCUUGGGAGAAUGUGUUAAUUCACCUCUGCCUCUUAUUCUGAGGAGACUGGUGACACAGCUGUGUUAGCCACAAGCAGCUAACAGUUCUCCUAGAGCCGCUUAGAGAUAACCUAAGCAAUGGACCGUUAAAUCCUACCAAUUUUCUUGCUGUUACUGAGUUCAAUUUGCAUGAUGUGAAAAUGAUUCUGCUUUGCUACCAUCUCUUAUUUAACUGUGUUUUCUAUCUGUUACUGCAAUUUGCAUGUUUGUACAUUAAUACUUUUAUAAGAAUUUCUUGAACUGAGAAUGGUGGGUGGAGUAGGGAAUUAUUCAC